AUGUACCAGCACCUCCACUCCCUAGUGCGAGCAAGGUUGUGGAUAUGUGAGAAGCUAACCGUUCUGGAAGGAUUUAGCUGGUUGGCUCUUGCUGUCCAACACCUCCGCGACGAUCUCGAAGGCCUACUGCCCGCCAUGAAUCCACAUGCCGCCUUACAGGGGCCUAACAGCGUUCUCCACACGUUUUCUCGGAUUAAGUACCAAGCGGGUCAGCUAAAACGUGCUAAGACCGAGAUCAGAUUUAGGGCUGGAGUGCUGGCAACGCAAGUUGGAACUCUCGACACACUCUUAAAAGGUCAGUCAGACCAGAUGGACCCGAUGAACUUGUGUUACUCAAGGAAGGGCAAUAAGAAGAGUGGUGAGGCUGAGGCAGAAUUGACAUUGUUGGCACCUUUGCGGUUUUGCCUGCGAGCUGGACACUCAUCCUCGUCACAUAUCACUGAGCAGUUGUACCUGUUGUCUGACCGUCUCUUAGUUUCACAAUCCAAAGAUAUGAGCUUACCUCAGUGUGUCAGUAUCAUGGGUUUUGCAAACAACAAACUCUGUUUCUGGUUUCAGGGUGCUCACAGUGACGAGCUUGCUGCUGCUUCAAGGCUGGAAGAGAGCAUAAACUUUUAUCAAACUUCGACUCCUGAUGUUGCUAAGCUUUUCCAUAUCGACACAGCAGCAAAGCGUCCAUCAGUAGUACUUCUGAAGAAAGAGGAGGAGAAGUUGACCUUCUAUGAUGGGGAGUUUAAAGCAUCAGCCAUUGCUGAUUUUGUGUCUGCUAACAAGCUUCCUUUGAUUUUACUAUUUGCUGUUGCAAGCGAGUCCUCCAAAUUUCUGCCCAUCUUCAAGGAAGGAGCAAAGCCAUUUAAGGGAAAGCUAUUAUUUGUCUUUGUGGAGCUAGACAAUCAGGAAGUUGGUGAACCAGUUGCUGACUACUUUGGUAUUACUGGACAAGAGACCACAGUUCAUGCUUACACUGGUAAUGAAGAUGCUAAGAAAUUUUUCCUUGACGGUGAGGUGUCACUUGAAGCCAUUAAGGACUUUGCUGAAGGUUUCUUGGAAGACAAGCUUACACCAUUCUACAAGUCUGAACCAGUACCUGAACCUAAUGAUGGGGAUGUCAAAGUUGUUGUUGGGAAGAAUCUGGAUCUAAUAGUUUUGGAUGAAUCAAAAGAUAUAUACGCACCAUGGUGUGGGCACUGUCAAUCACUGGAGCCUACUUACAACAAACUAGCCAAGCAUCUACGUGGUGUUGACUCCCUUGUGAUAGCUAAAAUGGAUGGUACUGCAAAUGAGCAUCCACAUGCAAAGGAUUUAUAA
rnacentral:rRNA from 1 species